rnacentral:rRNA from 1 species
GAUGAACGCUGACAGAAUGCUUAACACAUGCAAGUCGAUUCGAUUUACCUUCGGGUAUUGAGGAUGGCGGACGGGUGAGUAACGCGUAAGGAACUUGCCUCUUGGACUGGGACAACUGUUGGAAGCGACAGCUAAUACCGGAUAUUAUGAGAUUCUCGCAUGGGAAACUUAUGAAAGCUAUAUGCGCCAAGAGAGAGCCUUGCGUUCCAUUAGCUAGUUGGUGGGGUAAUGGCCCACCAAGGCGACGAUGGAUAGCCGGCCUGAGAGGGUGAACGGCCACAAGGGGACUGAGACACGGCCCUUACUCCUACGGGAGGCAGCAGUGGGGAAUAUUGGACAAUGGGCCACAAGCCUGAUCCAGCAAUUCUGUGUGCACGAUGAAGGUCUUCGGAUCGUAAAGUGCUUUCAGUUGGGAAGAAGAAAGUGACGGUACCAACAGAAGAAGCACCGGCUAACUCCGUGCCAGCCGCCGCGGUAACAC